GACGAACGCUGGCGGCGUGCUUAACACAUGCAAGUCGAACGGAAAGGCCCUGCUUUUGUGGGGUGCUCGAGUGGCGAACGGGUGAGUAACACGUGAGUAACCUGCCCUUGACUUUGGGAUAACUUCAGGAAACUGGGGCUAAUACCGGAUAGGAGCUACUGCUGCAUGGUGGGGGUUGGAAAGUUUCGGCGGUUGGGGAUGGACUCGCGGCUUAUCAGCUUGUUGGUGGGGUAGUGGCUUACCAAGGCUUUGACGGGUAGCCGGCCUGGGAGGGUUACCGGCCUCCUUGGGCCUACGGUACGGCGCAGACUCCAACGGGAGGCAGCAGUCGAGAGUAUGGCGCAACGGCCGCGAGCCUGAUGCAACAGCGCCGCGUGCGGGAUGACGGCCUUCGGGUUGUAAACCGAUUUCGCCUGUGACAAAGCGUGAGUGACGGUACUGGGUAAAGAAGCACCGGCUAACUACGUG
rnacentral:rRNA from 1 species